GAUCAUGGCUCAGGAUGAACGCUAGCGACAGGCUUAACACAUGCAAGUCGAGGGGCAGCACGAUGUAGCAAUACAUUGGUGGCGACCGGCGCACGGGUGAGUAACGCGUAUGCAACCUACCUAUCAGAGGGGAAUAACCCGGCGAAAGUCGGACUAAUACCGCAUAAAACAGGGUUCCACAUGGAAAUAUUUGUUAAAGAAUUAUCGCUGAUAGAUGGGCGAUGCGUUCCAUUAGA
rnacentral:rRNA from 1 species